UUCCUCACUCUUCCAGGCACACACAUAGCCAGCCUGACCUAAUGAAAUACAACUAGGAUAUCCUUGUCACUAUUUGUCACUCAUGUCAUGUAUCACAACCUCCAAUUUCCCAAUACAGAAGCUAUAGCAGUGAAAUAAAGUUGACACAACUCUCAUCUCAGAUAUAUAUAGCACCACAAAGAGGUAGUUAUAGUUCACAAUCCCAAUUAACACUGAGAAUCCAUGAGACACUACAAAAAAAUGCUAAAUUUGCAGAGGUUUUAUUGCGACGGUUACCAUAACCUCCGUAAUCUAUAUCAAAUUGUGGGGGUUUAUUUACCCCACAAAUAUGUUUAUAUUUGUGGCGGUCGAUAAUCUCCACAACCAUUAAAAAAUAGCGCCGACUAACCCAGUAUUUCCCUGGUUUUUAAUCCUUUCCCUCUCAUUUUUUCCCAAACCCCUUUUUCAUUUUCGCUUUUUUCAUUUUCAGAAACCCUCGCCCACUCUCACUUAAUCAAAACCCAUAGAAAUAUUCCAUUUCUUCUUCACUUAAUCAAAACUGCCACUGCAAAUCUCUUUUCCUUCACUUAAUCUCUUUCAUUUCUUCUUCAUUUCCUCCGAUUUCAAGCCCGUGUAGUUGCAAAAUUCCAAAUACAAUAGUUCUCUGCUUUUCUUCAGCGCCUCCUCUAUUGCAAAGUGAAAGAGAUAUGAAAAAAAAUUUCAGAUCUAUCAAUCAAUUAGAUAAUCGGUGUAUUUUGAAGAAAUUUGGUAGAAUCGUUGUAUUUUGAAUCGGCAGAAAUUUUGUAGAAUCGGUGUAUUUCGAAGAAGGAUAUAACACUCUUUGUUGAAAUCGAGAUCUGAGAGCAGUGAAUCUCUAUGGGGUUUCCACAGCUGCUGAAUCACUAAACAAAUCUUUGCCCAAGUUAGAUGAGAAUGGAAUGCUGCAAAUCUCAUCAGAGAGAUGUGCCAUAGAAGCAUAUCAAAGCUACAAGUGGCCUAAUUUCAGUGAAAAGGAGGCUCAGAAGGGUAAUCGUCUGUGGCAACAAAGACUUCCAUUGUUUUGCAACUGGCUAUUUUAAAAGGUAUUACUUCAAAAUCUUGGAUGAAACACUUUUAUAUCAUGGCUUAAUUUGUUAAUUAUACUCUCUCUCUUUCUCCCUUCGCUUUCCUACUUCAUUUUCUCUCUCUCUAUCAUACACAGUACAUUGACACUACAAUUGACUCUCUUACUGAUGAAUCAGAAUAUAGCAUAUCGGAGUGGUUUUACUUCUUUAGGGGUCUGGUUUGAUGAAUCAGAUGAAUAUGAAAUCUUGAUACAUUGAUUGUUCUGUAUUGGGAUUUAAUGGCUGCCGGAGUUAUUCUAUUUUGACGGUAACUUAGAUUGACCAAGGAGGUAAGUUUGACACCCAAGCCAGCAUUGGUGCUAUAAUAGGUUAUUCAGGGGCCACAAUAUGUGUGUUCCGAGCUAAUAUAAGCAGAGAGUAAUUAUUCAGUUGUAAUGGUAUAUAGCGAGUAAUUAUUUUGUUGUAAUGGUCUGUAGGUGACCCCAUUAUAUCAAAUACUUACUAAACAAAGAGACUGAAUAGCAUGCCUAGUCAAGUAUAUUCCAUUAAGCUUUUAAAUGUCUGAUGAUAGUAUUAGCUAUUUUCUGAUUUUAGGUCGGCUAAUUUGUUACUUUACUGUAAGCUUAAUUUUAUGAAGUGUGAAAUCUGUACUAUAUGUCCUUUGCUGCAAGUUGCUAGAGAUAAACUUCAUUCUUCAAGACGUGGACAAAUUUUUACUCUUGAUCGCUCGUGGGAUUUUACUGGGUUGUUGUUGUUGUAGUUGUUAAUUUGUUAAUUAUAUUCUCUUUUGAUUUUGUUGUAGCCAAGUGAUGCGGCUAGCGGAUCCAUUUCACCCAUGGAUAUAAGAAGAUCAUCCGGUGGAAGUAAUCCUAACGACAACUAUUGAAGUUGCUUGCAAAUGUAUUAGAUAAUUAAGUAUCGUACUCUAUUGAAUGGUCAUAGUAGAUCUUUUGUCCAUAAUGGUUGGAGUGGAUUUUCUAUUUAAAGAAAUUGCGUAGUUUAUUAAUAUAUUGAUGUUUUGUGUUUAAUGGUUGAAGUAGUUGUGUUUAAAGCAAAUUUUUGAGACUAAUGAUAAUUUAAUUUAAUGUA